GACAUGGUGGUGCAGCGGGUAGCACUGCAGCCUCGCAGCUCCAGGGUCGCAGGUUCAAUCCUGAGCUCAGGUUA